GUGGGGAAUCUUAGACAAUGGGGGAAACCCUGAUCUAGCCAUGCCGCGUGAGCGAUGAAGGCCUUAGGGUUGUAAAGCUCUUUCAGCUGGGAAGAUAAUGACUGUACCAGCAGAAGAAGCCCCGGCUAACUCCGUGCCAGCAGCCGCGGUACUACGGAGGGGGCUAGCGUUGUUCGGAAUUACUGGGCGUAAAGCGCACGUAGGCGGACCGGAAAGUCAGAGGUGAAAUCCCAGGGCUCAACCUUGGAACUGCCUUUGAGACUCCUGGUCUUGAGGUCGAGAGAGGUGAGUGGAAUUCGGAGUGUAGAGGUGAAAUUCGUAGAUAUUCGGAGGAACACCAGUGGCGAAGGCGGCUCACUGGCUCGAUACUGACGCUGAGGUGCGAAAGCGUGGGGAGCAAACAGGAUUAGAAACCCGAGUAGUCC
rnacentral:rRNA from 1 species